GAUCUAUUGCGUUGCAGAGAAGUCAGCAUAUUUACCGUUCUUGGUCAGACAAAUUCUACCCACCACUUGUGUUUUUUUGGAGGGCCAAUCUUGGCUUGAGUCUGCAGACAAAACUAACUUCAUUUUAAGAAAGCAACAAGUGGGCCUUGUUCUCAAAAAUUCUCC